rnacentral:lncRNA from 1 species
CCCUGGAGGGUCACCCAAGGAAAGAGUUCGUUCCAAAGACAGGUGCUCCUCUGAGUUCCUCUGGAAUCUGGCAAGGUGCCGAGCUUGGACGCAAGGCUUCCAUGAGGCUGUGAAGGAGGUUGCACGGAAACUGAACCUGGUGUGGAGGGCCAGGAGAGGCUUCGGGACUGAAGGGCAGAGCAGCAGACUCCGGGGCUCAUGUAGGAAGGAACAUGCCUUCAGCCAAAGAUUAUCCACGCUGCAUGGAGACUCUUGCUAAAUAUCACUGGGGUAAGACUGAAGAAAAGAAAUAAACUAUGCUACCUGCUCUUAAUAAA